rnacentral:rRNA from 1 species
AUUGAACGCUGGCGGCAGGCCUAACACAUGCAAGUCGAGCGAGCGGCGGACGGGUGAGUAAUGUCUGGGAAACUGCCUGAUGGGGGGGGAUAACUACAGGAAACGGUAUCCAAUACCGCAUACCAUCAGAUGUGCCCAUAUGGGAUUAGCUCGUGGGUGGGGUAACGGCCCACCUCGGCGACGAUCCCGAGCUGGUCUGAGAGGAUGAGCAGCCACACUGGAACUGAGACACGGCCCAGACUCCUACGGGAGGCAGCAGUGGGGAAUAUUGCACAAUGGGCGCAAGCCUGAUGCAGCCAUGCCGCGUGUGUGAAGAAGGCCUUCGGGUUGUAAAGUACUUUCAGCGGGGAGGCGUUACCCGCAGAAGAAGCACCGGCUAACUCCGUGCCAGCAGCCGCGGUAAUUC